rnacentral:rRNA from 1 species
AGCGAACGCUGGCGGCAGGCCUAACACAUGCAAGUCGAACGAAGUCUUCGGACUUAGUGGCGGACGGGUGAGUAACACGUGGGAACGUGCCUUUAGGUUCGGAAUAACUCAGGGAAACUUGUGCUAAUACCGAAUGUGCCCUUCGGGGGAAAGAUUUAUCGCCUUUAGAGCGGCCCGCGUCUGAUCAGCUAGUUGGUGAGGUAAAGGCUCACCAAGGCUACGAUCAGUAGCUGGUCUGAGAGGAUGACCAGCCACAUUGGGACUGAGACACGGCCCAAACUCCUACGGGAGGCAGCAGUGGGGAAUCUUGCGCAAUGGGCGAAAGCCUGACGCAGCCAUGCCGCGUGGAUGAUGAAGGUCUUAGGAUUGUAAAAUCCUUUCACCGGUGAAGAUAAUGACUGUAGCCGGAGAAGAAGCCCCGGCUAACUUCGUGCCAGCAGCCGCCGUAAUAC